AUUGAACGCUGGUGGCAGGCCUAACACAUGCAAGUCGAGCGAGCGGCGGACGGGUGAGUAAUGUAUGGGGACUGCCCGAUAGAGGGGGAUAACUACUGGAAACGGUGGCUAAUACCGCAUAAUAGCGGAUGAACCAUAUGGGAUUAGCGAGUUGGUGGGGUAAAGGCUCACAUAGGCGACGAUCUCUCGCUGGUCUGAGAGGAUGAUCGGCCACACUGGGACUGAGACACGGCCCAGCCUCCGACGGAGGCAGCAGUGGGGAAUAGUGCACAAUGGGCGAAAGCCUGAUGCAGCCAUGCCGAGUGUAUGAAGAAGGCCUUAUGGUUGUAAAGUACUUUCAGCGGGGAGGCGUUACCCGCAGAAGAAGCACCGGCUAACUCCGUGCCAGCAGCCGCGGUAAUAC
rnacentral:rRNA from 1 species